GGAGUGCAGUGGCGCAAUCCCAGCUCACUGCAAGCUCCGCCUCCCGGGUUCACGCUGUUUUCCUGCCUCAGCCUCCAGAGUAGCUGGGACUACAGGUGCCCGCUACCAUGCCUGGCUAAUUUUUUUGCAUUUUCGUAGAGACGGGGUUUCACUGUGUUAGCCAGGAUGGUCUUGAUCUCCUGACCUCGUGAUCCGCCUGCCUUGGCCUCCCAAAGUGUUGGGAUUACAGGUGUGAGCCACCGCGCCCGGUCGAGUUUUCUUCUUUAAUCUGGUGUUGAUCCUGAGAGUGCUUUGUUAAAAAACAUUCUCCAUGCUGACCUCCGUUUUCGAGUCCGCUUCCUGGGGAAACCUGAAACAGGACUUGAUGCUAGCAGCUGCCCAGAAGAACCAGAUGGGCCACUGUCCUUGCCAGAAGAUCUGAUAUCCUGUGUAUGGCCACCACCUAACACUGCUCACUUCUACAUGUAAACCUCAGGAUGGUAGAGUGCAGCCCCAAGUCUGUAUGCUACCACUUAUUCCAGCAGUCCCUAAUCUUUUUGGCACCAGUGACUGGUUUUGUGGAAGACAAUUUUUCCAUGGACCUGGGAGUGGGGGAUGGUUUCUGGAUGAUUCAAGUGCAUUACAUUUAUUGUGGACUUUAUUUCUAUUAUUACAUUAUAAUAUAUAAUGAAAUAACAAUACAAUUCACCAUAAUGUAGAAUCAGUGGGACCCCUGAGCUUGUUUUCCUGCAACCAGAUGGGACCAUCUGGGAGUGAUGGGAGACAGUGACAGAUCAUCAGGCUUUAGAUUCUCAGGAGCUGGCAACCUAGAUCCCUUGCAUGUGCAGUUCACAAUAGGGUUUAUUCUCCUAUGAGAAUCUAAUGCCACAGCUGAUCUGACAGGAGGCGGAGCUCAGGUGGUAAUGUGAGCAAUGGGGAGCAGUGUCCUGCUGUGUGGCCCAGUUCCUAGCAGGCCACGGACCAGUACCAGUAUGUGGCCUGGGGGUUGGGAACCCCUGAGUUAUUCAGUUCCACUAGAAAGCAAGAAUGGCUUUAUUCUAAUAAUUUCAGCAAAAGUUCCCGGCUAUCAUGAGAUCAACUUGGUUCAUAUGCCUGUUCCUGAAACUUACCACUAUAGACUGAAUAGGCUGAUGGCAGUCACAUGUUUACUGCUGGAAAUAGGAAGGACUGCAUGUGAUGUGAAGUGUACAAAGCCCCAGCUGACAAGGCAGUGCAACCCUGGCUAUUUUCUGGGCAAGGCUGGUGCUCUGGUGCUGGACUUCAUUUGCCUGAAGGAAGCAGUGCAUUUUUCUAACUUGUGUGAAGACAUUGUAUGGACUAGCUGUGGCCCUGGAGCCAUGUAUGUGGAUGGGGUCGGCCUCACUGAACCACUGAGACUGUGAGUGGGAGAGGGAUAGUCCUCUGAAUGAAAAUUAGGUUCACCUUCUAUAAGGGAGAAUGGAUGCGCAAGCAGAACUAUUGGAUAUACAUUACAGAAAGUAAUGCCAUUACUGUAAUUCUGAAUCUUGCCUUGUAGAGCAACUCGACUCUUUAAGUCUACUCAACUCAGCUCAACGCAAUCCAACAAUUAUUUUUUAUAGGCCAAAGUGUGUGUGUGUGUGUGUUUGCACACACACCUGUGUGCUGGGUAGGGAGGUGUUACCAAAAGAAAAGACCUACCUUCAAAAAGCAUAAAGUAUUCUGAUUUUAAGCCACGCCAACUAUGAAAGUUUUUCUUAAAUUCGACUCUGUUAUACCAAAUAAAUUAAAAAUUAUGCAAAAUUAAA
ensembl:lncRNA novel transcript